rnacentral:tRNA from 7 species
GGGGUCUUAGCUCAGCUGGGAGAGCAUCUGCCUUACAAGCAGAGGGUCAUAGGUUCGAGCCCUAUAGGUCCCA